CUAGAUACAAGCGAGCGGCGGACGGGUGCAUUAUACACGAUGGGUAACCCUGCCCAAGAGACUGGGAUAACACCCUGGAAACAGAUGCUAAUACCGGAUAACAACACUAGACGCAUGUCUAGAGUUUGAAAGAUGGUUCUGCUAUCACUCUUGGAUGGACCUGCGGUGCAUUAGCUAGUUGGUAAGGUAACGGCUUACCAAGGCAAUGAUGCAUAGCCGAGUUGAGAGACUGAUCGGCCACAUUGGGACUGAGACACGGCCCAAACUCCUACGGGAGGCAGCAGUAGGGAAUCUUCCACAAUGGACGAAAGUCUGAUGGAGCAACGCCGCGUGAGUGAAGAAGGGUUUCGGCUCGUAAAGCUCUGUUGGUAGUGAAGAAAGAUAGAGGUAGUAGCUGGCCUUUAUUUGACGGUAAUUACUUAGAAAGUCACGGCUAACUACGUGCCAGCAGCCGCGGUAAUACGUAGGUGGCAAGCGUUGUCCGGGAUUUAUUGGGCGUAAAGCGGAGUGCAGGCGGGUUCAAUAAGUCUGAUGUGAAAGCCUUCGGCUUCACCCGGAGAAAUUGCAUCAGAAA
rnacentral:rRNA from 1 species